UACGGAGGGUGCAAACGUUGCUCGGAAUCAUUGGGCGUAAAGCGCACGUAGGCGGUCUGAUAAGUCGGAUGUGAAAGCCCUGGGCUCAACCCAGGAAGAGCAUUCGAAACUGGCAGGCUCGAGUAUGGAAGAGGGUCGCGGAAUUCCCGGUGUAGAGGUGAAAUUCGUAGAUAUCGGGAGGAACACCAGUGGCGAAGGCGGCGACCUGGGCCAAUACUGACGCUGAGGUGCGAAAGCGUGGGGAG
rnacentral:rRNA from 1 species